rnacentral:rRNA from 1 species
UACGUAGGGGGGCGAGCGUUGUCCGGAUUUAUUGGGCGUAAAGAGCGUGUAGGCGGCUUGGCAAGUCCGCUGUGAAAACUCGAGGCUCAACCUCGAGACGUCGGUGGAAACUGCCUCGCUAGAGUCCGGAAGAGGAGAGUGGAAUUCCUGGUGUAGCGGUGAAAUGCGCAGAUAUCAGGAAGAACACCCGUGGCUAAGGCGGCUCUCUGGGACGGUACUGACGCUCAUGCACGAAAGCGUGGGGAGCAAACGAGG